rnacentral:rRNA from 1 species
GGGUUGUGAGGUUAAGCGACUAAGCGUACACGGUGGAUGCCCUGGCAGUCAGAGGCGAUGAAGGGCGUGCUAAUCUGCGAUAAGCGCCGGUAAGGUGAUAUGAACCGUUAUAACCGGCGAUACCCGAAUGGGGAAACCCAGUGUGACUCGUCACACUAUCAUUAACUGAAUCCAUAGGUUAAUGAGGCGAACCGGGGGAACUGAAACAUCUAAGUACCCCGAGGAAAAGAAAUCAACCGAGAUUCCCCCAGUAGCGGCGAGCGAACGGGGAGGAGCCCAGAGCCUGAAUCAGCAUGUGUGUUAGUGGAAGCGUCUGGAAAGGCGCGCGAUACAGGGUGACAGCCCCGUACACAAAAGCGCAUGUGCUGUGAGCUCGAUGAGUAGGGCGGGACACGUGGUAUCCUGUCUGAAUAUGGGGGGACCAUCCUCCAAGGCUAAAUACUCCUGACUGACCGAUAGUGAACCAGUACCGUGAGGGAAAGGCGAAAAGAACCCCGGCGAGGGGAGUGAAAAAGAACCUGAAACCGUGUACGUACAAGCAGUGGGAGCACCCUUUGGGGUGUGACUGCGUACCUUUUGUAUAAUGGGUCAGCGACUUAUAUUCUGUAGCAAGGUUAACCGUAUAGGGGAGCCGGAGGGAAACCGAGUCUUAACCGGGCGUUAAGUUGCAGGGUAUAGACCCGAAACCCGGUGAUCUAGCCAUGGGCAGGUUGAAGGUUGGGUAACACUAACUGGAGGACCGAACCGACUAAUGUUGAAAAAUUAGCGGAUGACCUGUGGCUGGGGGUGAAAGGCCAAUCAAACCGGGAGAUAGCUGGUUCUCCCCGAAAGCUAUUUAGGUAGCGCCUCGUGAAUUCAUCUCCGGGGGUAGAGCACUGUUUCGGCUAGGGGGCCAUCCCGGCUUACCAACCCGAUGCAAACUGCGAAUACCGGAGAAUGUUAUCACGGGAGACACACGGCGGGUGCUAACGUCCGUCGUGAAGAGGGAAACAACCCAGACCGCCAGCUAAGGUCCCAAAGUCAUGGUUAAGUGGGAAACGAUGUGGGAAGGCCCAGACAGCCAGGAUGUUGGCUUAGAAGCAGCCAUCAUUUAAAGAAAGCGUAAUAGCUCACUGGUCGAGUCGGCCUGCGCGGAAGAUGUAACGGGGCUAAACCAUGCACCGAAGCUGCGGCAGCGACGCUGAUGCGUUGUUGGGUAGGGGAGCGUUCUGUAAGCCUGCGAAGGUGGCCUGUGAGGGUUGCUGGAGGUAUCAGAAGUGCGAAUGCUGACAUAAGUAACGAUAAAGCGGGUGAAAAGCCCGCUCGCCGGAAGACCAAGGGUUCCUGUCCAACGUUAAUCGGGGCAGGGUGAGUCGACCCCUAAGGCGAGGCCGAAAGGCGUAGUCGAUGGGAAACGGGUUAAUAUUCCCGUACUUGGUGUUACUGCGAAGGGGGGACGGAGAAGGCUAUGUUGGCCGGGCGACGGUUGUCCCGGUUUAAGCGUGUAGGUGUGUGUUCCAGGUAAAUCCGGUUCACUUUAACACUGAGGCGUGAUGACGAGGCACUACGGUGCUGAAGCAACAAAUGCCCUGCUUCCAGGAAAAGCCUCUAAGCAUCAGGUAACAUCAAAUCGUACCCCAAACCGACACAGGUGGUCAGGUAGAGAAUACCAAGGCGCUUGAGAGAACUCGGGUGAAGGAACUAGGCAAAAUGGUGCCGUAACUUCGGGAGAAGGCACGCUGACACGUAGGUGAAGUGAUUUACUCAUGGAGCUGAAGUCAGUCGAAGAUACCAGCUGGCUGCAACUGUUUAUUAAAAACACAGCACUGUGCAAACACGAAAGUGGACGUAUACGGUGUGACGCCUGCCCGGUGCCGGAAGGUUAAUUGAUGGGGUCAGCGCAAGCGAAGCUCCUGAUCGAAGCCCCGGUAAACGGCGGCCGUAACUAUAACGGUCCUAAGGUAGCGAAAUUCCUUGUCGGGUAAGUUCCGACCUGCACGAAUGGCGUAAUGAUGGCCAGGCUGUCUCCACCCGAGACUCAGUGAAAUUGAACUCGCUGUGAAGAUGCAGUGUACCCGCGGCAAGACGGAAAGACCCCGUGAACCUUUACUAUAGCUUGACACUGAACAUUGAGCCUUGAUGUGUAGGAUAGGUGGGAGGCUUUGAAGUGUGGACGCCAGUCUGCAUGGAGCCGACCUUGAAAUACCACCCUUUAAUGUUUGAUGUUCUAACGUGGACCCGUGAUCCGGGUUGCGGACAGUGUCUGGUGGGUAGUUUGACUGGGGCGGUCUCCUCCUAAAGAGUAACGGAGGAGCACGAAGGUUGGCUAAUCCUGGUCGGACAUCAGGAGGUUAGUGCAAUGGCAUAAGCCAGCUUGACUGCGAGCGUGACGGCGCGAGCAGGUGCGAAAGCAGGUCAUAGUGAUCCGGUGGUUCUGAAUGGAAGGGCCAUCGCUCAACGGAUAAAAGGUACUCCGGGGAUAACAGGCUGAUACCGCCCAAGAGUUCAUAUCGACGGCGGUGUUUGGCACCUCGAUGUCGGCUCAUCACAUCCUGGGGCUGAAGUAGGUCCCAAGGGUAUGGCUGUUCGCCAUUUAAAGUGGUACGCGAGCUGGGUUUAGAACGUCGUGAGACAGUUCGGUCCCUAUCUGCCGUGGGCGCUGGAGAACUGAGGGGGGCUGCUCCUAGUACGAGAGGACCGGAGUGGACGCAUCACUGGUGUUCGGGUUGUCAUGCCAAUGGCACUGCCCGGUAGCUAAAUGCGGAAGAGAUAAGUGCUGAAAGCAUCUAAGCACGAAACUUGCCCCGAGAUGAGUUCUCCCUGAGACUUAGAGUCUCCUGAAGGAACGUUGAAGACGACGACGUUGAUAGGCCGGGUGUGUAAGCGCAGCGAUGCGUUGAGCUAACCGGUACUAAUGAACCGUGAGGCUUAACCUUACAACGCCGAAG